rnacentral:rRNA from 1 species
GACGAACGCUGGCGGCGUGCUUAACACAUGCAAGUCGAACGGAAAGGCCCCUUCGGGGGUGCUCGAGUGGCGAACAGGUGAGUAACACGUGAGUAACCUGCCCUUGACUUCGGGAUAACUUCGGGAAACUGGGGCUAAUACCGGAUAGGAAUCCUUGCUGCAUGGUGGGGGUUGGAAAGCUUCGGCGGUUUUGGAUGGACUCGCGGCUUAUCAGCUUGUUGGUGGGGUAGUGGCUUACCAAGGCUUUGACGGGUAGCCGGCCUGAGAGGGCGACCGGCCACAUUGGGACUGAGAUACGGCCCAGACUCCUACGGGAGGCAGCAGUGGGGAAUAUUGCACAAUGGGCGGAAGCCUGAUGCAGCAACGCCGCGUGCGGGAUGACGGCCUUCGGGUUGUAAACCGCUUUCAGCAGGGGCGAAGCUUGUGGUGACGGUACCUGCAGAAGAAGCACCGGCUAACUACGUG